UUCGAUGCUACACGAAGAACCUUACAGGGUUUGACAUACAAGUGGUAGAGAAGCGAAAGCGGACCGACCCUCGGGAGCUUGUACAGGUGCUGCAUGGGCUGUCGUCAGCUCGUGUCGUGAGAUGUUCGGUUAAGUCCGCUAACGAGCGCAACCCUCGUCGUAUGUUAUAUGUGUCAUACGAGACUGCCGGUAAAAGCCGGAGGAAGGUGAGGAUGAUGUCAAGUCAGCAUGACCUUUAUAUCCAGGGCUACACACACGCUACAAUGGUCUGUACAAUGGGUAGCCAAGCCGCGAGGCGGAGCCAAUCCUGAAAGCAGGCCUCAGUUCAGAUUGCAGUCUGCAACUCGACUGCAUGAAGCCGGAGUUGCUAGUAACCGCAGGUCAGCAAUACUGCGGUGAAUACGUUCCCGGGUCUU
rnacentral:rRNA from 1 species